AGCUUUGCGUAGUGGCAGUACUGUCGCCAUAGACUUAUCCGAGGUGUGAUUAUUGCUAAUUGAAAACUUUUCCAAAUAUCCCAUCAUGAUGACUUGAAAUACAGUCAGCAUUGGCAAAUUUUGACAUCUCAUGGAGACUGAG
ensembl:snRNA U4 U4 spliceosomal RNA